UCGGUCCUGCCCAGUAUUAGGUUCCCAGACGCUCUGGAAGAGACAGAGAGGGAGAGGUGGAAAUAGAGCCAAGGGAAGGGAAGAACUCCAUGCGAUUUUCCUCAUCUGAAAACCGCAUGAAGAGGAAAUCGGGGUCCUGGCGCUGGUGAAGUGAGUAAGCAGCCCCUGUGCCUUUUGGCACUUGAACAUCUCUCCCUGGGCUUUCUGUGGAUUCCAAGGAUGCAACUGACAACUGAAGAUUUAUUCUCUUCAGAGGGUACAAAAUAUCUUUAGCCACAUGAUCAACCAGUACAGAGACACAAGGAGAGCAGGAACACAAG